GCCCGGGUGGCGGAAUUGGUAGACGCGCUGGACUCAAAAUCCAGUGAUAGCAAUAUCGUGUGGGUUCGAUUCCCACCUCGGGUA
rnacentral:tRNA from 1 species